AAUGAUACAAGCUACGACUCAGCAAUUUGGACUGCAAAAGGAGAUGACCAGACUAACUUUAAUUCACAGUUCUGGAGUGCCAAUGUUACAGAUGUAUGCUUGACCUCGGAUGCUUUUAGUAUUCAAUUAUCCGUUAAUAAUGUCCAGGCUCCAUCACUUCGCAGUUUAUUUUUUCAAAAGAAUACAUUAAAUACAUCCAAUAACCUGUGGACUGAUGCUUUGGAGGAUGGUAUCGCAGAUCCAACUUUCGAGGAAAAUUGUUAUGAAACUGGUUUCAACGUUGGCGAUCCGAAUUAUGUUCAGGCUCGCAUAGGAAUUGUCAACCUUAACAAUCCAGG